AGCAGCCGCGGUAAUUCCAGCUCCAAUAGCGUAUAUUAAAGUUGUUGCAGUUAAAAAGCUCGUAGUUGAACUUCGGGGUCUACCCAUUGGUCAGGCUUAAUUGUCUGCACUGGUGAGAUGGAUCUCUACCUUCUGAGGAACUUUCAUGCCAUUUAUUUGGUGUGAUGGGAAAUCAGGACUGUUACUUUGAAAAAUUAGAGUGUUUAAAGCAGACUAUCGUCUGAAUACAUUAGCAUGGAAUAAUGAAAUAGGACGGACUGAUUCUAUUUCGUUGGUUUCUAGGAUCACCGUAAUGAUUAAUAGGGAUAGUUGGGGCAUUAGU
rnacentral:misc_RNA from 1 species